rnacentral:rRNA from 1 species
UACGGAGGGUGCAAGCGUUGUUCGGAUUCAUUGGGCUUAAAGGGUGCGUAGGUGGCGCUGUAAGUCAGGUGUGAAAUUUCGGAGCUUAACUCCGAAACUGCAUUUGAUACUGCGGUGCUUGAGGACUGGAGAGGAGACUGGAAUUCACGGUGUAGCAGUGAAAUGCGUAGAGAUCGUGAGGAAGACCAGUGGCGAAGGCGGGUCUCUGGACAGUUCCUGACACUGAGGCACGAAGGCCAGGGGAGCAAACGGG